UACGGAGGGUGCAAGCGUUUAUCCGGAUUCACUGGGUUUAAAGGGUGCGUAGGUGGGCAGGUAAGUCAGUGGUGAAAUCUCCGGGCUUAACCCGGAAACUGCCAUUGAUACUAUCUGUCUUGAAUACCGUGGAGGUGAGCGGAAUAUGUCAUGUAGCGGUGAAAAUGCUUAGAUAUGACAUAGAACACCAAUUGCGAAGGCAGCUCACUACGC
rnacentral:rRNA from 1 species